GGAAAGGUGUCCGAGUGGCUUAAGGAGAACGCCUCGAAAGCGUUUGUGCGUUUACGCGUACCGUGAGUUCGAAUCUCACCCUUUCCG
rnacentral:tRNA from 1 species